rnacentral:tRNA from 1 species
AGAAACUUAGCUCAGCGGUUAGAGCAUUUUCAUUUCCCCAAAGUGCAAAGGUCGUGGGUUCGAAUCCCACAGUUUCGUGCA